UUUGUUUGAUACUUUUUUCGUUCGCUUCGCGCGUCUACCCGAACUUCGUCCGUUUAUUUCUAUCUUCCACACGAAGAAAACGCAAAAAAGUUGAGCGAGACGACGAAGAGACGCUCUCGCAGAUCGACAAUGUCGAUGGCGUCCUACAGUUCUCCGAAGGAGUCUUUGAGAUUGAUCGUGCACAUUCUCAAUUUCUCAUUGUUUACAAACGACAACAGCUGCGAGAAGAAACGCACCUGCGAUUCGUCCACGAGUUCGGCUUCUCGUAAAACCCUAACAUCUGUCUCGGAGGUGCGAAAAUCUGAGGAGAAAUUUCAUCGAUCAGUCACACGUUGAGGUUCUCAAGGACGUGGAAGCCUCCCUCCCUCGUGUUUAAACGUUUGAUGGUACUUUUCUCUCUAUAAUUACGGAUCAAGUAGUUCAAUGCUGAGUAUAUUGUACCGAGCACUUGUGUGACUUUGCAUGAUGUUUUGUUAUGUCUCUCUGUUUUUAUUGCCAUGAAAACAGAGGAAGGGACUGAGAAAAUUGAUGUUUACCUGCAGCUUGACAUGAAUGAGAGGUAGAUGUAUUCCAAACAUUUUAAAGCUGCGCUAUAUGCCUCGUUACUUUUCUUAGGGUUUCUUGCCAGCCAAACAGAUAUUGUAGUAGACUAUCUAGCGCUUAAAUAUUAUUUACGCGUAUGAAAAUUAUUAAUGGUAUGCUAUUUCAUGUAAUUAUUACCUUAUAAAUCGCGAGAUAUACUUUUUCUUAAUUUCCUUUCCUGAUGAAAAUUGAGAGAGAUUUAUAAUUUACAUUUGGAAAUUCGUGUUGUCAAUUAAAUCUUCAUGUUGCAUUUUCAGUAGUAAUGUAUAGACAUCUAUUGUAUUAUAUUGUUUACAGAGUGAAUAACUCCAUAUGCACUGAUUGUUAUUUGGUUGCUAAUUUCCUAAUCAAAUCCAGCGUGGUCAACCAUGCCAUGUAGUUUGUAUUUCUAAAUGGAUACUUUACAGGCUUUAUAUUUACCUUGUUGAAAUAUCUGAUUCUUAUAAAUAUUGAAUGGUAAAAAUGCGACGUGUUAUUUAAUCACGAUAAAUAUUUUCUAUGGAUCUAAAAGCUUUAGACAGUCAAUGUGUUUUUUGCUAGAUCAUUUCAUUGUGUGUUUUUCCAUUUUGAACUAUUUCAAUCUUGUUAGUAAAACUUAAUUGAAAAUAAUUCAUAUUUAUAAUGGUAAAUUAUAAUUGGUUAGUUGAUAGGGCUUAAUUUGCAUAAUCAAUCCGCUGAUUAAUAUAAAUCCGCUAUUAUCUGUCUUUUGUGUCAUAUUAUAAAUUAUGUAUGGCUGCCUUUGUAUAGGGUGCCUUGAUGUGGUAAAUUAUGUGGGACUUUCUCUUUAUUUUUCCAGAUCUUUGAUAUUAGAAUGACUCUCAAAUGUUUUCACAGUACCUCCACUUUAAAAUGUGGCUCGCUUCAUGUGGUAAACUUUGUUAAGAAUAUUUGUCAGUCCUUUUGUUGAACUCGACCACAUGAUGACCCAUGUCAAAAGUUGGCUUCACCUGAAAGACAACUCAGGAAGCAAUGAAGAGUUCGUGUCAGAGGCACAGACCGUUGCAUCUUGGGUGUGCAAAAUAUCCAUCGCUGAGCUUUUGAAGGCGUUUGAGAAGGAAAUUGAUGUUCCAAGGACGCAGAACUCCAUCAACUUAGGGCGGUCAUCUUGAGCUAGCUAUUCUAACAAAGAGAACUUUCAUAGAUUACUUUGUAGAGUAAUCCAGUCUUCUGUUAGAUGUUCCACAAAUAGCUGCUCACUUGCUUUUAUUGCGUGUACUACGGCAGGUCAGUUUAUGCUACAGAACGAAUGCGCUUUUUAAUAAAAUGUUCCCACGAAAAUCAUAACAAAUAAUAACAAAUAUCGAUACAGGACAAGCACGUACUCGUGAUUUGACAUUAUUAGAAUUAAAAGGACGGAUCGUAAAAUACGUAAACAAAAUGCGAAAUGUUCAAUCGAAAGGGCCUUCUGGGACGGCCCAGCCGUGAUAUCUGUAUGGCCCAUAUUCUUAUUAGUUCUAGACCAAACUGCCCAUGUCUUUUUAUCUCGUUCGGGUUCAUCUUAAUUGGCAGUGAGACCCAAAUCAAAUUAGUGGGCCAAACUAUGACUGUAAUGGCCUGUUGGCCAACAUCAAUGGGC